rnacentral:rRNA from 1 species
UACGUAGGGGGCAAGCGUUGUCCGGAUUUAUUGGGCGUAAAGAGCGUGUAGGCGGCCGUACAGGUCAGCUGUGAAAACUCGAGGCUCAACCUCGAGACGUCGGUUGAAACCGUACGGCUAGAGUCCGGAAGAGGAGAGUGGAAUUCCCGGUGUAGCGGUGAAAUGCGCAGAUAUAGGAAGGAACACCAGUGGCGAAGGCGACCACCUGGACUGAUACUGACACUGAGGUGCGAAAGCGUGGGGAGCAAACAGG